rnacentral:rRNA from 1 species
AGUGAACGCUGGCGGCGUGCCUAAUACAUGCAAGUCGAACGGAGUGGCGCACGGGUGAGUAAUGUAUAGCUAAUCUGCCCUACACUAGAGGACAACAGUUGGAAACGGCUGCUAAUACUCUAUAGUGUAGGAUGAGGCUAUAUUGUAUCAGCUAGUUGGUGAGGUAAUGGCUCACCAAGGCUAUGACGCAUAACUGGUCUGAGAGGAUGAUGAGUCACACUGGAACGGAAACAAGGUGCAGACUCCUACGGGAGGGAGCAGUAGGGAAUAUUGCUCAAGGGGGGAAACCCUGAAGCGGCAACGCGGCGUGGAGUAUGACACGUUGCGGAGCGUAAGCUCAGUUUGUUAGGGAAGCGGUACCGAACGAAUAAGCACCGGCUAACUCCGUGCCAGCAGCCGCGGUAAUAC